CCUACGGGAGGCUGCAGUGGGGAAUUUUGCACAAUGGGGGAAACCCUGAUGCAGCGACGCCGCGUGAGCGAUGAAGUAAUUCGUUAUGUAAAGCUCUAUCAGCAGGGAAAAAAAUGACGGUACCUGAGUAAGAAGCCCCGGCUAAAGACGUCCCAGCAGCCGCGGUAAUACGUAGGGGGCAAGCGUUAUCCGGAUUUACUGGGGGGAAAGGUAGCGUAGACGGCUGUGCAAGUCUGGAGUGAAAGGCGGGGGCUCAACCCCCGGACUGCUCUGGAAACUGUACGGCUAGAGUGCAGGAGAGGUAAGUGGAAUUCCAAGUGUAGCGGUGAAAUGCGUAGAUAGUAGGAAGAACACCAGUGGCGAAGGCGGCUUACUGGACUGUAACUGACGUUGAGGCUCGAAAGCGUGGGGAGCAAACAGGAUUAGAUACCCGUGUAGUC
rnacentral:rRNA from 1 species